AUGCGGCGGUGUCGGGGCGCGGGGCUGGCGGUGCUGCCCGCGCUGCUGCUGCUCGUGGCUGUGGCUAGAGCCCAGAUAGAGCAGGAGUCGUCAUUGGAGACCACCGAGGGCACCGGCAUCAACAUCACCUGCUCACAUCCCAAAAUCCAGACAAGAGAUUGGAUCCAGUGGUACCGACAUCUCCCUGGCCGAGCACCCGAACUCCUCGCACUCACUAUGAAAGAGUCGAAAGAGCUGCCGGACAAUCUGGGCCAGCUGUGGGUGUCGGCAGACCGGCGCUGGAGCGCGCUGCGGCUCGGCUGGCCCCGGCGCGGGGACGCGGCCGUGUAUUACUGCGCGCUGGGCCACGGGCAGAGGAGCCGGGGCUGCGGCCGGGCACGAACCGGCGCGGGCGGGGCCGGGCGGGGCCAGCAGGGGGCGCUGCCGCUCCGGCCGCCGGGGCCGCCUCGCCCCGCUCGGCCCGGGAUCCCGGGGCGCUGCCGCCGCCGGCACCGGCAAUGGGACCGGCAAUUGACCGGCACCGGCACUGACAGUGACAGCGAAAGCGGCAGAUACAGCUUGUG